rnacentral:rRNA from 1 species
UCGGGAAUUUUGGGCAAUGGGCGAAAGCCUGACCCAGCAACGCCGCGUGAAGGAUGAAGUAUUUCGGUAUGUAAACUUCGUAAGAAUAGGAAGAGUAAAUGACGGUACUAUUUGUAAGGUCCGGCUAACUACGUGCCAGCAGCCGCGGUAAUACGUAGGGACCAAGCGUUGUUCGGAUUUACUGGGCGUAAAGGGCGCGUAGGCGGUGUGUCAAGUCAGUUGUGAAAUCUCCGAGCUUAACUCGGAACGGUCAACUGAUACUGUCACACUAGAGUACAGAAGGGGCAAUUGGAAUUCUUGGUGUAGCGGUGAAAUGCGUAGAUAUCAAGAGGAACACCUGAGGCGAAGGCGGGUUGCUGGGCUGAUACUGACGCUGAGGCGCGAAAGCUAGGGUAGCAAACGGGAUUAGAUACCCAAGUAGUCCCUGAGCGGGCUGGCAAGGCGCAU